AUUGCCUCAGUAACGGCGAGUGAAGCGGCAACAGCUCAAAUUUGAAAUCUGCCCCCCCGGGCCGAGUUGUAAUUUGCAGAGGAUGCUUUUGGCGAGGUGCCUUCCGAGUUCCCUGGAACGGGACGCCAUAGAGGGUGAGAGCCCCGUCUGGUCGGACACCGAGCCUCUGUAAAGCUCCUUCGACGAGUCGAGUAGUUUGGGAAUGCUGCUCUAAAUGGGAGGUAUAUGUCUUCUAAAGCUAAAUACCGGCCAGAGACCGAUAGCGCACAAGUAGAGUGAUCGAAAGAUGAAAAGCACUUUGAAAAGAGAGUUAAAUAGCACGUGAAAUUGUUGAAAGGGAAGCGUUUAUGACCAGACUUGGCCCGGUUGAUCAUCCAGCGUUCUCGCUGGUGCACUCUGCCGGUCCAGGCCAGCAUCAGUUCGCUCCGGGGGACAAAGGUUUCGGGAAUGUGGCUCCUCCGGGAGUGUUAUAGCCCGUUGCGUAAUACCCUGGGGUGGACUGAGGUCCGCGCAUUGCAAGGAUGCUGGCGUAAUGGUCAUCAACGACCCGUCUUGAAACACGGACCAAGGAGUCGUCUUCGUAUGCGAGUGUUCGGGUGCAAAACCCCUACGCGUAAUGAAAGUGAACGCAGGUGAGAGCUUCGGCGCAUCAUCGACCGAUCCUGAUGUUCUCGGAUGGAUUUGAGUAAGAGCAUACGGGGCCGGACCCGAAAGAAGGUGAACUAUGCCUGUAUAGGGUGAAGCCAGAGGAAACUCUGGUGGAGGCUCGCAGCGGUUCUGACGUGCAAAUCGAUCGUCAAAUAUGGGCAUGGGGGCGAAAGACUAAU
rnacentral:rRNA from 1 species